rnacentral:rRNA from 1 species
GAUGAACGCUGGCGGCGUGCCUAAUACAUGCAAGUCGAGCGAACAGACGAGGAGCUUGCUCCUCUGUCGUUAGCGGCGGACGGGUGAGUAACACGUGGAUAACCUACCUAUAAGACUGGGAUAACUUCGAGAAACCGGCGCUAAUACCGGAUAAUAUAUUGAACCGCAUGGUUCAAUAGUGAAAGACGGUUUUGCUGUCACUUAUCGAUGGAUCCCCGCCGCAUUAGCUAGUUGGUAAGGUAACGGCAUACCAAGGCAACGAUGCGUAGCCGACCUGAGAGGGUGAUCGGCCACACUGGAACUGGGACACGGUCCAGACUCCUACGGGAGGCAGCAGUAGGGAAUCUUCCGCAAUGGGCGAAAGCUUGACGGAGCAACGCCGCGUGAGUGAUGAAGGUCCUCGGAUCGUAAAACUCUGUUAUUAGGGAAGAACAAAUGUGUAAGUAACUAUGCACGUCUUGACGGUACCUAGUCAGAAAGCCACGGCUAACUACGUG